AGAGAGCUGCGGUAGCUACAGGUGUUUUAGGUCCCAGACUUGCCUCUGCCUUUUAUCUACAACACAGUAAACAAACUAUUUGUUUCUUUGAAGUUUAGCUCUUUCAUUUUUAAUGCGAAUAGUUCUCUCCCUUUCUGUUCUUCAAUUGUGAAUGAUAAUGGUGGCAGUGCAUGUGAAAGCACUUUUGAAACUUUAAAAGCUUUGAAUAAAUGCAAGGUCAUUUUGCUUGCCCGGGAUGCUAGGUGCUGUAAUCAGAAAAGGGUCUGUUCUGUUGACCUUCCACUAAAUUAGAGCACCUAAAACCUUAAGCCACAAACAUGUGCCAGCUCCAUCCUGGUUUAUCAACUUUUGAUAAAGAAUUUUCUAAGCUUAGAUGGAAGUUAAAUGAUGUCACCAGACCAUUAAACGAUGCCAGCUAUAUUCACUAAAAUUGUGUUAUAGAAAAGAAAGAUAUAGUAAAUAUAGAAUCUGUUCUAGUUUCCUUUCCGUUGGUGUGACAAAACAUCAUGACAAAAAAAGCAACAUAGGGAAGGAGAAGGUCCUGUCCCCGCCCACCAUUUUUUCCAAGACACAGCCUAUUGUUUCGGGGAAGUAAGAAAGGAACUCAGUAGCUAGUCACAUUGCAUCCACAAUGGAGAGCAAAUUCAUCUUUGCUUGCUUGCUUUCGGCUAACUUUCUCCUCUUUUCAAAUGUUCAGGAUCCCCUGCUUAGGGAAUGAUGCCACCCAUGGUGGGCUGGGUCUUCAAUCAACAACAACAACAACAACAACAACAACAAAAAGUCUUCCACAAACAUCCCCACAGCGCGACGAAAACACAAUAAUUAAAGUUCGACACGAGCAGAGAUGAUCUAAUGAAGGUUUAUCGACUAGGAGAGUUCCCAGAAUUCAUCUUUCCACUCGAACAGCUUGGCAGACAAAGUCCAAAGCUUGAAGGAAAAGAAAAGAAGAGAAAGGAGCACGGGCUAGAGGCACAGAAGAGGAACCAUAGUUGUUACGUAUGGAAGGAAACACGGAGGACAGUGUAGAAGAGUUAAGACAAAUGGGCUGUUGUCAGGCGGGUUUCUGAGAAGGGCAGUCUCCCGGACUGAUAAUUCAGAACUUCCUUCGGCAGUCAGACUCAUGACCUCAUCCUGAUUGGUCCACUGCGGGAAGUAGAUUAGGACGGUCAGUGGGUGGGAGAAUGCCCCUGGCCCUUCUAAAGGCUGAUAAUCAGGGUGAGUGGACAAAGCGAGGGGCGGGAGGACCACAGGACCAUAGGCCUGUGAGAAAGUGCUUUCUCAAUCCUGCGGGUUGCCUGAAGUGAGGCUUACUGGGUAAAGUACUUGUUUAGCAAAAAUUGAAGUCUCAAUUCCAUCUCUGUCAUCACAAAAGAACAAAACCUGUUCUGGUUACUUCCUGGAGAGAGGGCCUCUCGGGCUUUGUUUGAAAAGUCAUAGAAAGAAUUGGAACAUCCUAAGGAUUUUUGUUUAUAAAAGUUACAUGUAAGUAGCUGUCAAUAUUUAUCAAGAACUUAGAUUAAAAAUGUAAAAGAGGUGAAAUUUAAACUAUUCCUGUUGAGCAAUAGUAAUGAGUCUAUUACAUGUUAAUAUGGAGGUUAAUUAUAAUUUGGGCACACACCAAAGAACUUCUGUGCCCUGUUACACGGACCUAUCUUAUACCUUGAGUGCCUUUUAGUUCUUUGUUUUUUGAGGCAGAGUCUUACAUAGCCCAACUUGGCCUCCAAUGGCCUAUGUAGCCAAGGAUUACAUUAAACUUUUGAGCCUCU